rnacentral:rRNA from 1 species
AACGGCCGCGGUAUCCUAACCGUGCAAAGGUAGCAUAAUAAUUUGCCCAUUAAUUGUGGGCUAGAAUGAACGGGGUAACGAAAUAAGCACUGUCUCAGCAAAAUUAAUAUAAACUAGUAUCCAAGUGAAGAAACUUAGAUAAAAUUACAGGACAAGAAGACCCUAUAGAGCUUUAUCUUUCUAUACUUAAGUAAAACAAAGAUUCGGUUGGGGCGACCAUGGAAAUAAACAUCCACAAAAAUAAAGAAAACAAAUCAAUUUAUAGAUCCUAUUAAGAUCACAGAAUCAAGCUACCUUAGGGAUAACAGGCUAAUCCUAUUUAAGAGCUCUUAUCAACAAUAGGGAUUGGCACCUCGAUGUUGGCUUAGAAUAUCUAUAUGGCGCAGAAGUCAUAUAAAGAAGGUUUGUUCAACCUAUAACAUUCUACGUGAUCUGAGUUCAGACCGGA